rnacentral:rRNA from 1 species
UACAGAGGUGGCAAGCGUUGUUCGGAAUUACUGGGCGUAAAGGGCGCGUAGGCGGCCUUCUAAGUCAGACGUGAAAUCCCCGGGCUCAACCUGGGAACUGCGUUUGAAACUACAGGGCUAGAGUAUGGGAGAGGGAGGUAGAAUUCCACGUGUAGCAGUGAAAUGCGUAGAGAUGUGGAGGAAUACCAAUGGCGAAGGCAGCCUCCUGGCCUAAUACUGACGCUCAUGCACGAAAGCGUGGGGAGCAAACAGG